UCAGGAUGAACGCUGGCGGCGUGCCUAACACAUGCAAGUCGAGCGAUUACUUCGGUAAAGAGCGGCGGACGGGUGAGUAACGCGUGGGUAACCUGCCUCAUACACAUGGAUAACAUACCGAAAGGUAUGCUAAUACAAGAUAAUAUAAGAGAUUCACAUGGAUUUCUUAUCAAAGCUCCGGCGGUAUGAGAUGGACCCGCGUCUGAUUAGCUAGUUGGUAAGGUAAUGGCUUACCAAGGCGACGAUCAGUAGCCGACCUGAGAGGGUGAUCGGCCACAUUGGAACUGAGACACGGUCCAAACUCCUACGGGAGGCAGCAGUGGGGAAUAUUGCACAAUGGGCGAAAGCCUGAUGCAGCAACGCCGCGUGAGUGAUGAAGGCCUUCGGGUCGUAAAACUCUGUCCUCAAGGAAGAUAAUGACGGUACUUGAGGAGGAAGCCCCGGCUAACUACGUGCCAGCCGCCGC
rnacentral:rRNA from 1 species